rnacentral:rRNA from 1 species
UACGAGUGCCUCAAGCGUUAUCCGGAAUCAUUGGGCGUAAAGGUUGUGUAGGUGGUUGUAUUAGUCUUCUGUUAAAUUCUUCGGCUUAACCGGGGGCAUGCAGGGGAAACGGUACAACUAGAGGAUGCGAGGGGUCUGUGGAAUUCAUAGUGUAGCGGUAAAGUGCGUUGAUAUUAUGGAGAACACCAAAAGCGAAGGCAGCAGACUGGAGCACUCCUGACACUGAAACAAGAAAGCGUGGGUCGCGAAUGGG